rnacentral:lncRNA from 1 species
CUGAGCUGAACCACUGAGCUAAACCCCUCGCAAUUUUUACAGUUUUGAAUAGCCUCAACUUUUGAAAUAUUUUCAGAAUUUUGUGUAAACAUUCAUUCUCUGAUUUCUAAUAUUAAUUACACUCCAAUUAAUAAUUCAUGUCUAAAUUUUAUUUUACUAGCUUCUGAAGAUACUAAAAUAAAUGAGGAAGAAAUAUCACGGAUUAUACAAACUAGAGGGAAAGAAAAGAAACCAAGUUUAAUAAGGACAAAAUAUAUCAUAGAGGUAUAAUCCAGGACAAAUGAAAACGUAUGUCCACAUAAAAACUAAUGAAUGAGUACGGCAGUUUUAUUCAUAUUAAUUCAAUACUUAGAACACCUUUAAUGUAUGUCAAAAUGUAGAUAAAUAAAAAAGUGUGAUAUAUGCAUCAGUGGAAGAUUACUCACCAAUAACAAAAAAUAUAUGCUGAGCAAAAGAUGAUAAACACAAGAGUAUGUAACACAACUAUUUUCAUAUUAAAUAAUAUAGAAGAAAAAUCAAAUCUGUAAUAAGAAAACAAAGCAAUGUUUACUUGGAUCCUGGAUAGACAGUAAUGAAGCAAAUGGACACAUGAAAUGGGAAAGGGGAUAGGAAUAUUCUCUGUAUUGAUUAUAGUAAUGAAAAUAUAGCUAUAUAUAUGUGAAAUAUAUAUAUUUGGCAACUUG